GCAGGGGUAGCCAAGCAUGGCCAACGGCGCAGGACUUAAGAUCCUGUCUCGCAGGAGUCCGAGGGUUCAAAUCCCUUCCCCUGCA
rnacentral:tRNA from 1 species